CUCGUCCGGGUCACGUCGGUUCAAGUUCUCCAAGACCUUAGUCUGGAAAGGAUUUGAAAGACAUCGAAGAAGCUAAAGGUAUCUUUGAAAAUGGGUCACCACCCGGGGGCCGAAAUAAAAGGAGUCGGAAUGAAGUAUUUGCAUAUUAUUGUAAGAGGGGGUCGUGCCAUGUAUUACGUGAUCGUGAUGAUCGAGGAACGCGCGGAGCCGGUGGUUGGAGUACCGCCACUGGCUUACCUGGCCAGGGCUGUUUAA